rnacentral:rRNA from 1 species
CACGUAGGGGACGAGCGUUGUCCGGAUUCAUUGGGCGUAAAGCGCGCGUAGGCGGCUCGGAAAGUCGGUCGUGAAAUGCCGGGGCUCAACCCCGGGACUGCGUCCGAUACUCUCGAGCUGGAGGCAGGUAGGGGAGAUCGGAAUUCCUGGUGUAGCGGUGAAAUGCGCAGAUAUCAGGAGGAACACCGGUGGCGAAGGCGCACAUCUGGCCCGAUACUGACGCUGAGGCGCGAAAGCUAGGGGAGCAAACGGG